rnacentral:rRNA from 1 species
GACGAACGCUGGCGGCGUGCUGAACACAUGCAAGUCGAACGGAAAGGCCCUGCUUUGGUUGGGUGCUCGAGUGGCGAACGGGUGAGUAACACGUGAGUAACCUGCCCGUGACUUUGGGAUAACUUCAGGAAACUGGGGCUAAUACCGGAUAGGAGCUCCUGCUGCAUGGUGGGGGUUGGAAAGUUUCGGCGGUUGGGGAUGGACUCGCGGCUUAUCAGCUUGUUGGUGGGGUAGUGGCUUACCAAGGAUUUGACGGGUAGCCGGCCUGAGAGGGUGACCGGACACAUUGGGACUGAGAUACGGCCCAGCCUCCUACGCGCGGCAGCAGUGGGGAAUAUUGCACAAUGGGCGGAAGCCUGAUGCAGCAACGCCGCGUGCGGGAUGACGGCCUUCGGGUUGUAAACCGCUUUCGCCUGUGACGAAGCGUGUGUGACGGUAAUGGGUAGAGAAGCACCGGCUAACUACGUG